UAACAAGGUUUCCGUAGGUGAACCUGCGGAAGGAUCAUUAAUAAUGCCCUCUGACGCAAGUCAUUGGGUUAGAUCUGCUCUCUUCGCAAGAAGAGGGUUUCCAUACACACCGUGAACUGUGGCUUCGGCCAUCACAAACUGUUAGUAAUGAAUGUAAUAUCAUAACAAAAACAAAACUUUUAACAACGGAUCUCUUGGCUCUCGCAUCGAUGAAGAACGCAGCG
rnacentral:misc_RNA from 1 species